UACCAGCACCCCGAGUGGUCGGGACGUUUAUUGGGCCUAAAGCAUCCGUAGCCGGUUCUACAAGUCUUCCGUUAAAUCCACCUGCUUAACAGAUGGGCUGCGGAAGAUACUAUAGAGCUAGGAGGCGGGAGAGGCAAGCGGUACUCGAUGGGUAGGGGUAAAAUCCGUUGAUCCAUUGAGGACCACCAGUGGCGAAGGCGGCUUGCCAGAACGCGCUCGACGGUGAGGGAUGAAAGCGUGGGGAGCAAAAGGG
rnacentral:rRNA from 1 species